CGAGUUAUGCCGGAACACCGUUUUUCUUCGAUUUUUACUCGCGCCUUUAAUAAAAUGUUCCUCAUGGUAACUUCCGGUUUCAUGACGUUUUCUUGAAAUAUCAAUACAAAACAUGAAAAAGCGGAAUAGCAUAGUAAAUAAUAGGAGUUAUGGCUGUAAGAUGUGAUUUUUUUCUCCUGGCUUGUUCCCGAUUUGCAGAACUAUCUCCUGGACAAAUGAAUUCAGUGAAGUAUGGCGAGAAACUUGGAUCUACAAUGUAGUUCGUCUUUGUGAACUCGCUCACAAACUUAAUUUUGAGCGUUGAGAUAUUCUCAUGGUGAAUAUGUAGACAUCGAUACUCGACGCAGAUCUGAGUGUUCGUUGGAUCAGAGAAGGUGAUAUUGGACCAACUUCAAGUCAGCCAUUCCAAGUUUCUAACUGGAACAAAGAUUUGUCACAGAUACCAGAAGAAGAAUCUUUUGAUGUCCUAGUUCACCUCAUGCAGAGGUGUGGGUGGAGUUUUGCAUGUGUAUCAAAUUACAAGCAGGACAAUCAAUGGUUAUCAUCUUCAUAUGGAUAUAAUGGAGCAUGUAAGCAUUGUGUUGCUUUCAUUUUCUCAUUGUCCAAUUUUCUGUGAAAGGCACAGGGACUGAAGCACCGAGGCCUAUACAGACAUACAGUGUGUCUGGGAUAAGCCAAAGAAAAAGUCAGUACCAAGUGAAAUAAGCAAGAUAGAUUGAGGAUUGACCAGUCCCAACAACCAUCCAUUGUGCCCACAUUGUGUAAUAUCCAGACAUAAAGCAUGCUUGUUUUGAGAAACACACAGAAAUUCAGACAUUUGAGAGCAUUGGCAAUAAAUUUUAUUAUAGCAUUGAGUAUUAAAUCACAAUGAACAUAAAGAGUGGCUUAAAUUUAUAACUUUUAACUGCUACUUUCA